AUUCAGCACUACUUAAAACACCCUGGAAACACUACAAUGCUUUCCACUUCCUAAUAAUAUUCCACCAUCACUGAUAACAACGUGUAAUCCCGCACUAUCCUAAAUGACAUGACAUAAUCAUACUAUAAUCCAAACUCUGGAGUUCUUCACCAUUAACUGCCUUCACAUUACAGUGUUUCACACAAACAUAGACUCAUUCUCUCUGCUAAACUACAAUCAGAUUUCAGCAUUCAAUCUUUCUUCUUCCCAUUUAAUAACAAUCAUACUUCCAUUCCAUAAUUCACUUUCAUAAUAUUCAGAAACUCUUAAUCUUCUUAUUCAAAGAAAAUAACAAACAAAAGAAAAGAGAUAGCACCAA
rnacentral:lncRNA from 1 species